rnacentral:rRNA from 1 species
AGCAGCCGCGGUAAUUCCAGCUCCAAUAGCGUAUAUUAAAGUUGUUGCAGUUAAAAAGCUCGUAGUUGAAUUUCGGGAUCAAUACGUCGGUCGUGCUUAGGUACGUACUGGCGUAAUUGAUUUCUCCCUUCUGACGAACCAUGAUGUCAUUAACUUGGUGUUAUGGGAAAUCAGGACUGUUACUUUGAAAAAAUUAGAGUGUUUAAAGCAGGCUCACGCUUGAAUACAUUAGCAUGGAAUAAUGAAAUAGGACGUUCGAUCCUAUUUUGUUGGUUUUAGGAUCAACGUAAUGAUUAAUAGGGAUAGUUGGGGGCAUUAGUAUUCAAUUGUCAGAGGUGAAAUUCUUGGAUUUAUUGAAGACUAACUACUGCGAAAGCAUUUGCCAAGGAUGUUUUCAUUAAUCAAGAACGAAAGUUAGGGGAUCGAAGACGAUCAGAUACCGUCGUAGUCUUAACCAUAAACUAUGCCGACUAGGGAUCGGAUGAUGUUAAUUUUUAAUGACUCAUUCGGCGCCUUACGG